UUUGACCUCAAAUCAGGUAGGAUUACCCGCUGAA
rnacentral:rRNA from 2 species